CAGUAGCCACGGUAAUGCGAAGGGGACUAGCGUUGUUCGGAAUCACUGGGCGUAAAGGGUGCGUAGGCGGAUUCUUAAGUCAGGGGUGAAAUCCCGAGGCUCAACCUCGGAACUGCCUUUGAUACUGGGGAUCUUGAGUCCGGAAGAGGUGAGUGGAACUGCGAGUGUAGAGGUGAAAUUCGUAGAUAUUCGCAAGAACACCAGUGGCGAAGGCGGCUCACUGGUCCGGAACUGACGCUGAGGCACGACAGCGUGGGGAGCAAACAGGAUUAGAGACCCCCGUAGUCCCUGUCUCUUAUAC
rnacentral:rRNA from 1 species